rnacentral:lncRNA from 1 species
GGGCACAAGGUGGCGCUCUAAGAGGCAGUGGAUUUGCAGUCCUAUGCAGGGCUGUCUGGUCCUAGGCUUUUCUGCUCUGGCAAGGGCCGCCUCCCUCUGCCUCCCCAGGGUGCAGUCAGGGCGGGCUGUGUGCAGCAGGCACACCGAGCACAGAGACCUGCAGGGCCCAGAGGAGGCAGAUUCUUGGAGUCACAAGAGCCAGUGACAUGAGUCUGGCCCAGCCCUCAGCCAGGCAGAGAUGGGAGACUUCAGAGCAAUGAGGACACCCACCUGCCCAUAACCAGCAUCCAACGGGCGCCAACCUGCAGGUCCAGAGCUCACCGGCAGAUGGCGCUGCUCCCAGGCCCGCUCCUCGUGGCCUUGCUGGCUCUGUGCUGGGGA